UGUUGAAAGAGCUGAGCUGCAAAGUGC
rnacentral:piRNA from 2 species